rnacentral:rRNA from 1 species
CGUCAGCUCGUGUUGUGAAAUGUUGGGUUAAGUCCCGCAACGAGCGCAACCCUUAUCCUUUGUUGCCAGCGGUCCGGCCGGGAACUCAAAGGAGACUGCCAGUGAUAAACUGGAGGAAGGUGGGGAUGACGUCAAGUCAUCAUGGCCCUUACGACCAGGGCUACACACGUGCUACAAUGGCGCAUACAAAGAGAAGCGACCUCGCGAGAGCAAGCGGACCUCAUAAAGUGCGUCGUAGUCCGGAUUGGAGUCUGCAACUCGACUCCAUGAAGUCGGAAUCGCUAGUAAUCGUGGAUCAGAAUGCCACGGUGAAUACGUUCCCGGGCCUUGUACACACCGCCCGUCACACCAUGGGAGUGGGUUGCAAAAGAAGUAGGUAGCUUAACCUUCGGGAGGGCGCUUACCACUUUGUGAUUCAUGACUGGGGUGAAGUCGUAACAAGGUAACCGUAGGGGAACCUGCGGUUGGAUCAC